rnacentral:rRNA from 1 species
AUUGAACGCUGGCGGCAGGCCUAACACAUGCAAGUCGAGCGGAUGAAGCGAGCUUGCUCCUGGAUUCAGCGGCGGACGGGUGAGUAAUGCCUAGGAAUCUGCCUGGCAGUGGGGGAUAACGUCCGGAAACGGGCGCUAAUACCGCAUACGUCCUGAGGGUGAAAGUGGGGGAUCUUCGGACCUCACGCUAUCAGAUGAGCGUAGGUCGGAUUAGCUAGUUGGUGGGGUAAAGGCCUACCAAGGCGACGAUCCGUAACUGGUCGGAGUGGAUGAUCAGUCACACUGGAAGGGAGACAGGGUCCUGGGUCCUGCGGGAGGCAGCAGUGGGGAAUAUGGGACAAUAGGCGAAAGCAUGAUCCAGCCAUGCCGCGUGUGUGAAGAAGGUCUUGGGUUUGGAAAGCACUUUAUGUUGGGAGGAAGCGCAGUAAGUUAAGACCUUGCUGUAUUGACGUUACCAACAGAAUAAGCACCGGCUAACUUCGUG